rnacentral:rRNA from 1 species
CCUACGGGUGGCAGCAGUGAGGAAUAUUGGUCAAUGGUCGGGAGCCUGAACCAGCCAAGCCGCGUGAGGGAGGAAGGUACAGUGUAUUGUAAACCUCUUUUGUCAGGGAACAAAGGCCGGGACGUGUCCCCUGAUGAGUGUACCUUAAGAACAAGCAUCGGCUAACUCCGUGCCAGCGGCAGCGGUAAUACGGAGGAUGCGAGCGUUAUCCGGAUUUAUUGGGUUUAAAGGGUGCGCAGGCGGUCUGUUAAGUCAGCGGUAAAAGCCCGGGGCUCAACCCCGGCCCGCCGUUGAAACUGGCAGUCUCGAGUGGGAGAGAAGUAGGCGGAAUGCGCGGUGUAGCGGUGAAAUGCAUAGAUAUCGCGCAGAACUCCGAUUGCGAAGGCAGCAUGCCGGGUCCACACUGACGCUGAGGCACGAAAGCGUGGGUAUCGAACAGGAUUAGAUACCCCUGUAGUC